CAGCAUAAUCAAGGUGUGGUCUUACCAGAGAUUUAUAAAGAGGCAAAAUUAUAUUUUCAUCUCGAGAAUUUAUGCCCCUAUUUAUACAUGACAAAACCUCACUGGCCUUAGCAACGGCAGAUUGACAUUGCAUAUUUCUGCCUAAUUUGUUGUCUAUAACAAUUCCCAAAUCCUUCUCGUGUGUGGUUAUCCCUAGUUCACUACCAUUUAGGGUGUAAAUUGCUUGUGCAUUCUUAACCCAGAAGUGCAUAACUUUGCAUUUCUCUACGUUAAAUUUAAUCUGCCAUUUUAGUGCCCAGUCCCCCAAUCUAUCCAAAUCCCUCUGCAGCAAGGCAAUAUCCUGCUCACAUUUUAUCUUUACAAGUCACAGGGAUAAGGGUGGGCUGUCCCUUCCCAAUCUAU